rnacentral:rRNA from 1 species
UUGUAUGUGUGCCAGCAGCCGCGGUAAUACGUAGGGGGCAAGCGUUAUCCGGAUUUACUGGGUGUAAAGGGAGCGUAGACGGCAAGGCAAGUCUGAUGUGAAAACCCAGGGCUUAACCCUGGGACUGCAUUGGAAACUGUCUGGCUCGAGUGCCGGAGAGGUAAGCGGAAUUCCUAGUGUAGCGGUGAAAUGCGUAGAUAUUAGGAAGAACACCAGUGGCGAAGGCGGCUUACUGGACGGUAACUGACGUUGAGGCUCGAAAGCGUGGGGAGCAAACAGG